GUUUAGGUAUGGCAAGGUCUCAGCCUCGUGGUGUCCAAGGGUGUCCAUCUCCAUCGUUGCUCCCUACACUGUUUUUUCAGAAAACACCCUCUGAGCAGAGAGCUUGAUUUAGGGACAGAUACAAGAGCCAUAAAUCCCAGGAAGCCCCCAGAUCACAGCAAUGAGCUUUUUGGAGGUUGUACACAGUGGAGAAGUGAUGAUGAGACAGAUUUUUCCAAGGAAACUUACCACUUCAUGGGAAACAGAGUUACUGUUUCCCAUGGGGAAGAAAUGUGCUGAAAACUUGCAGUGUUCUUCUUUUUAUGUCUUUUUUUCUUCUCCCUAUUUUAUUUUGAAGGGUUGGGGGCAGACAAACCUGAAAUGAAACACUUCAUUUUGGUCAGUUUGACCUGAUCGGGGGAAUAUUUCAUUCUUUUGAUUGGAUUGGUUUCAAAUCGAUUCAGAAUAUGCUUCAACUUUCCUCAGUGAGAGUGCAGCUCCAUCUCUUCUCCUUUAUUGUGGAUCUGCUCUUGGGAGUACCUUGAUGCCCAGGAGGCAAAGAGCAACUUUUGUUUUGUAUGCAAAUAAGCAUUCUGCAAUUUUUUUCAGCUCCUGUUCAGGUUUCCAGAAUUUCAAAUCACCUUUAUGUCACAUCAGUUUAAACAUAUCUAUAGAAAAUAUUAAUUUUUUUACUUGACAAUUGUCAAGUCCUGGAGCCUCAUUUGGAAUUUUGACUUGUCUGAGCCUUCCUUCCCUCCAGUUACAGUCUGUGGCUGAGAUAGGAAGACAAAGAAAAGCUGGAAGGAGCCAUCAGUUGCUGAUGUUUUGGUGCUGAAGAGCUCAGUGGUCACUGCUGGAGCUUCUGUGCUGCUGGCAUGGGUGUCAGAGAGCUAGCUGGAAAUGUGAAUCUCCCCUGGAUGUUUUACUCCACAAAUUUGCUGGGAGAAAUGCAGGAAUUGCUGCUCCACAGCAGGUUUCAGUGCCAUGGAUUUGGUGUCUGUGUGGAGCUGAGGGGGAUUACCUAGACCUUGGACUUGCCCACUGUGAGAAACAAUCUUCAGAAAGAUCAAGGAAUCACCAACCACUGCUGCUCUGUCCCUUUCCUCUCCUUGCAAAGGACUCCCAGACUUCUCCAGUCUGCUUCCAAGAGGAAGCUGAUGGGUGCUAAAUAGAUUUAUGGAAGAGAAGAGCCCUCCAAACACACUCAUAUUGCUGUUUCUGCUCAUCUGCCAUGUUUUCAGCAUUUUAAACAGGAGCAGUCCUAUUACAAAGCUGAAAAUUCCACUUUUUCCUUGAGAAGAAAGCUUUGAUUUCCCUGUUUUGCACUAAAAUCCCUAUGGAAUUCUCACUCUGUUGAAUUAAGGGCAGAUGAUAAAUUUCAAAUGGCAGAGCUGAAGAUGAAACAGGGGGACUCCUGGUUCCCUUUGCUUGGGCAGGAGACCUUGAAAGCAGUUCCUGGAACACUCUCCACAGCAGAUCCUUGGGGCACGUGCAAGUGCUGAAUGUCACACCCUGAAGGGCCAGGAGGUCACCUGAGAGGCGCAGUCUGGCCACAGCUGCUGAGACUGGGAGAUCCACAUCCCCCCUUCCAGUGGGCCAAGGCUGGCACACUGACCCAGGAGGAGCCACUCAGGUAGGCCUGCAGGCACUGGCAGAGGCCACAGCACAUCCACAACAUCCCAGGGUUUGGCUCCAAAAAACCAUGAGCUCUGUCAGGAGACAGCUGCCUUCAUUCUCUCUGGUUAUUGAGCUCUUUUCCCAGGCAUCUCCUCUUGACAGCUGUAACAGUGGGAAUUUGCCUUUGGCUCACUGUUAGCACCAAGGAUAUCCCAGCACAGGUAGGAAUUGGGAUGGCUUUAGUUUCCUUUGAUGAAAAUGAAGGUGGUGCUGUUGGAUAACACUGACCUGUAGGGUGCCCAGGUGUAAAUCUCUGUUUCAGAGGCUGUCUUGGGUUCAGUGCAAGAUCUGUUCUAUUCCCAUCUGUCGAAACUGGCUGGGGAGGUGGCUCUUUAUCUCUUCUAACUCUGGGGGAGAGGGGGCAGGUGUCCUCUGUUAAUGGGCCAGCUGUUAAAACCAAGUGGGGCAGUGUUUUUUCUCUCUUCCAUGACCCAUCCUCCCUCCAGGGGAUUUCUGCUGUUAAUGGGCCACUGAGUCUAAUUGCAUGACUGAUAAAAUUACAUCAUCCAUUGGGAGAGGCUCCACCCAGGCAGAGGAGCCCAGCAUUCCUACCUGGAUAAAAGCUGAGAUUCAGAACAGCAGGACAGCCUGUUUUCCACUGGAUUCCCAGAGGAAGACUGGACCCAUCUUGCCACCACUGGACCCUUCUACAGGAUCAGCUCUUCUCUAACAGAACCACAUCUGUUACUCCAGGAGGAUUUGUUUGGACUGCUUCCAACAUCCUGACCAACAGGAUGUCAGGUCCCAUUCUGACUCUGUCAGGGUUUUUCUUUUGUGUUCAUUUGCUUUUCUGUUCUACUACAUUUUUAUUUUGAUUUUCCUACUAAAGAACUGUUAUUCCUAUUCCCAUAUCUUUGCCUGAGAGCCCCUUAAUUUCAGAAUCAUAAUAAUUCAGAGGGAGGGGGUUUACAUUCUGCAUUCCAAGGGAAGCUCUGGCUUUUCCCUGGCAGACACCUGUCUUUUCAAGCUAAGAAAGAGGCACAGGGAGCACCUCCACUGAGCAACGGAGCUGGAUCUGGAUAUUCCAGGCAGGCACUGCUGGGCUGGGAUAUAACCCCCGGAAGCGGAGUGAUGUCUAAUUUGGGUGUUCACAAACCACUCCAUCACUGCCCCGGUGGUUUGGGUCUGUGUUGGCUGUGGCUUCUCUCGUUGGAGCCCUGUGGUGUGGAACCACCCCUGUGUCCCUCCAGGAGCGGUGUGGACACAGCUGGGAGGGCCUGGCUGACCCCUCUGCCCUUGCUGGGAGCCCCACGGGGCUCCUGCAAAAUCAGCCAGCCAGUGGACAUCUCUGCCACCACAACACAGAAAAACCACAUCCAUGUCUGUCCAUGGCUCCUUCCAGAGCUCCUGGAUUCCACUUGCAAAUUUAAAAAAAAAAAAAAAAAAAAAAAAAAAAAAAAAAAAAAAAAAAAAAAUCAUCUCCACUUUGGGUUGUUUAGUAACACCAGAAAACCCUCAGUGUACCAAUGAGAGGGAGUGAGUCCUCCAGGACCAGACAUGGACACUGAGAAUGCUCCAUGGCAGAAGCAACGACCCCAUUUCAACCGGCUUUUCCCACUUACCUUCAAAGCCAAGCUGGGGUCCGAUUGUAUCCGAUGCUGUGGCAUGGAAUAAUGUCUGCUUGGGAAAGCCGGGCGAUAGUUGGCUGAAGAAAAGAAAAAUAUCUUUCAGAUAUUUUAUAAUCCAAAAAACAUGGUCUCCAAUGAGUUUUUUCCAAGCACAUUAGCGCUACAGCCAUUAAUAAUCAUAGAGCUCAAAGAAGGAAAAAAAAAUCAGCUGGAAGGGAGUUGAAAGGGAAACCUAUUAAA